UGCCAGCCGCCGCGGUAAUACGAAGGGGGCUAGCGUUGUUCGGAAUUACUGGGCGUAAAGCGCGCGUAGGUGGUUUGAUAAGCGAGAUGUGAAAGCCCCGGGCUUAACCUGGGAACGGCAUUUCGAACUGUCAGGCUAGAGUAUGGUAGAGGGUAGUGGAAUUUCCUGUGUAGCGGUGAAAUGCGUAGAUAUAGGAAGGAACACCAGUGGCGAAGGCGGCUUUCUGGACCGAUACUGACGCUGAGACGCGAAAGCGUGGGGAGCAAACAGGAUUAGAUA
rnacentral:rRNA from 1 species